rnacentral:rRNA from 1 species
CCUACGGGUGGCAGCAGUGGGGAAUAUUGGACAAUGGGCGAAAGCCUGGUCCAGCCAUGCCGCGUGUGUGAAGAAGGCCUUCGGGUUGUAAAGCACUUUCAGUGGGGAAGAAAGCCUUGGGGCUAAUACCCUCGAGGAAGGACAUCACCCACAGAAGAAGCACCGGCUAACUCCGUGCCAGCAGCCGCGGUAAUACGGAGGGUGCGAGCGUUAAUCGGAAUUACUGGGCGUAAAGCGCGCGUAGGCGGUCUGAUAAGCCGGUUGUGAAAGCCCCGGGCUCAACCUGGGAACGGCAUCCGGAACUGUCAGGCUAGAGUGCAGGAGAGGAAGGUAGAAUUCCCGGUGUAGCGGUGAAAUGCGUAGAGAUCGGGAGGAAUACCAGUGGCGAAGGCGGCCUUCUGGACUGACACUGACGCUGAGGUGCGAAAGCGUGGGUAGCAAACAGGAUUAGAUACCCCUGUAGUC